AGGAAGUCACCUGGCAGAAGCUCACAUGGGCAGAAUUUUUCCCAAAUGCCAGGCAGACUUCUGGUAGCAGAGGGCUCCUUUUGAACAAUUUCUCAUUGCAACAGCCACAAAAGAGAAGCAAUGACAAAGUCACUGGCUGGUAAGUCUGGCCCUCGCACCGGUCUCCAAUUGCAUCGCUCACCGAAGCACAGCCGCACCCUGGCCCACGGCAGCAAGAAGCUGCCAGCCCUGGGAAGCGUCCAGGGGUUUAUCUGCUGGUGGUGCUGCCCCUGGCUCGGCACAGCCGGCAGGGAGGAGCCCGGGAGUGCCCUGAGCCUCUGUCCUGUGUAAUCUAUAGCGUUUUGCUGGAAGAGAGGGUUGAAGGGUGAAUUAAAGCCUUCUCCUGA